rfam:Dipodomys ordii contig_36857, whole genome shotgun sequence.
GGUGGCUCAGUGGUAGAGCGCUUGCCUCGCAUGCAUGAGGCUCUGGGUUCAAUUCCUCAGCACCA